rnacentral:lncRNA from 1 species
UCAAAUUAUUCACAACUUAACAAAAAUCAGAAUCUAACCCAAAUAAAAUCCUCAAUUCCAAAAUCAUAAUAAUUUGUAAUUACCUGAAAUAACUCUUAACAAAUAAUUCUCCCAUAUCAAAACUUGCUGAUACAAAUGCUCAUAUCAUAAUCGUAUAAUCAUUUCUUAACUGAACAAAAUAUGACAUUAUUCUCCUUAAUGAUCAAAUCACAAUCCUUAACUAAUAUUGUUGCUCCAACGCAUAUAACAAUAAUAAUCUUAACAAGUUAACUCGCCUUUCUCAAAUCAACUACAAUUUAAAGAGCUAAAAACACUUGGUCAAAAUCAAGACCAACCAAACAGAGAACAAAAUCAAAUCAAACUCCUACGUCUACCCAAUGGUUUACCCACAACUCACAGGUCAAACCUAAAUAGGUUUUCUACAAGAAAGAACCUAAGCUCUGAUACCAUCUCUGUAA